AAGGGAGGGGAGACACUAUGGGAGAAGGGGAGGGGGGACACUAUGGGACAAGGGGAGGGGAGGAGACACUAUGGGACAAGGGGAGGGGGACACUAUGGGAGAAAGGGAGGGGAGACACUAUGGGACAAGGGGAGGGGGGGACACUAUGGGACAAGGGGAGGGGGGACACUAUGGGACAAGGGGAGGGGGAGACACUAUGGGACAAGGGGAGGGGGAGACACUAUGGGACAAGGGGAGGGGGAGACACUAUGGGAGGGAAAGUGCACUAUGGGACAAUGGGAGGGGGGGACACUAU